rnacentral:rRNA from 1 species
UACAGAGGGUGCGAGCGUUAAUCGGAAUUACUGGGCGUAAAGCGCGCGUAGGCGGCUUUGCAAGUCGAGUGCGAAAUCCCCAGGCUUAACCUGGGAACUGCAUUCGAGACUGCAUAGCUAGAGUAUGGGAGAGGGAAGUGGAAUUUCAGGUGUAGCGGUGAAAUGCGUAGAUAUCUGAAGGAACAUCAGUGGCGAAAGCGACUUCCUGGACCAAUACUGACGCUCAUGUGCGAAAGCGUGGGGAGCAAACAGG